AGCCAACUCUCAAACCCUUUCUAAAUCUUCAUCAAUUCAUAUUCGUAUUUUUCUUUUCUUUCAAAUAUUAAUUAUUUGUUAAGAGGGAGAAUUUGAUGGAGAGCACAAAUUCAUCAUCGGGUUCACAGCACCCGCAGCUUCCGCCGGGGUUCCGGUUUCACCCGACGGACGAAGAACUGGUGGUCCAUUACCUCAAGAAAAAGGCCGCCUCCAUCCCGCUUUCGGUCGCCAUCAUCGCGGAGGUCGACUUGUACAAGUUUGAUCCAUGGGAACUGCCAAGUAAGGCGACGUUUGGGGAGCAAGAGUGGUAUUUUUUCAGCCCAAGGGACCGGAAGUAUCCGAAUGGGGCGCGGCCAAACAGGGCAGCAACUUCAGGGUAUUGGAAGGCGACUGGGACGGAUAAACCUGUUCUAUCAUCAAUCGGAAACCACAAAGUCGGUGUGAAAAAAGCUCUUGUUUUCUAUGGAGGGAAACCCCCAAAAGGGACUAAAACCAAUUGGAUUAUGCACGAGUAUCGGCUUGUCAACAACACCACCACCACCACCAUCAACAUGAGUUCUAGUACUACUAAGCCUCCUGAUCCAGCUAACAAAAAACCCUCCCUAAGGCUUGAUGAUUGGGUUUUGUGUCGGAUUUAUAAGAAAAACAAAGGGCCUGUGAUGUCUUUAGAUGGUGAUCAUUUUCUUCACAAGGCCGAGGACUCUAAUAGUUCUAUGGAAGAUAUGUUUCUCCACCCGUCAAUACUGACAACUCAAAAAACACCACCGCUGCCGCCGCCACCAUCAUCAAAGCUGCCAACUACAGAUUACACCGCGUUGCUAGAAAGCGAUGAUCACGAGAGCUAUCUCGAGGGCAUACUAUCGUCAAGCGAUCAUCAACCAGGCUCUCACUCUCAUCAUCAUGAUCAUGAUCAGUUUGGCGCUAUAUCAACUUCCAUCUCAAAAAGCAGCCUACCCUUGAAACGUCAUCUUCCUUCGCCGUUUUGGAACGACGUGGGAUCGAUAGGGACUGCUGCUGCUGCUACUACUUCAUCGAGAAAAAAGUUUCAUGCUGAUCUCAUCAAUGAAAACAACUCCUUUGUUUCUAUGCUGAAUCAGACGCCACAGGGUACGGCACCGUUUCACGCUAAUGCUGCACUUCUUGAGUUGCUAGGAGAUGGGGUUUUGCGCCCACAGUUUCAACUCCCAAGCAUGAACUGGAAUUCCUAGUUUGGUUUUGGCUUAUCUCAAAAGCACUUCCACCUAAUUGUCGCGUUUUCUUGAUUGGCUGCAGUUCAUAGCCAGAGAAGCAUAGUUCGAAAAAUAAUAUGCAAUGCAAGGUCUGGAAAACUCUAGGGAGACAUCAUUUUUAUAUCACAUUUGUGUACCAUACGAUGUCAUAAGUGAUGUGUAGAUGUCAUGUCAAUUAAUGAAUUUAUAUCAUCAAUUGAAUGUUGAUUAUAUACAUCGCUUAUUGCAUGAAAUGGUAUACAAGUAUAGUAUAAAUAUGUGAUCUCCUUACCAUUAUCAUCGUACAAAAAAACUAAGAUCUUUUACAUGAUGUUUUGUAAAUGUCAAGAAGACAUAUUUGUAUCUUGUGGAAGUAAGAAAUUAUGGAUCCACGGAA